rnacentral:rRNA from 1 species
AUGAGCAGUGCCACCACCUACGCGGAGAGCAUCUCUUCCUGCCGCACUCCAGCUCCCAUCCGCUCCCCAUCCCUCGCAGCCACGGCGGCGGCGGUACCCGACGCAGCCCCCCUCCCCGUGAGGCGGCAGCUCGAUUUCCCCAGCGGCGACGGCAACACGGAUGACGAUGAUGACUUCUUCUUUCUCGUCGCAGAGGAGAUGGAGCGAAACCUAGACCAGGUCACGCGCCGCGCCGCGCAGAGCUUGACGCCGCCGACGGUUGCGCUGGCACGCCCGACUUUCCGUGAGAAGCUGUGCAUUUGCGGGCGUGGGCCGUGUGCCGUUGAGCGGAAGGAGGGACGAUGGGCAUACGUCUGCUCGGCGCCGCCGAAGUGCAGACAUUCUUCUUAUUGCAUGGAAUCUGAUGUCAGUCCAAGUUCACAGCCUGCCUUUUUGAGUUAUCAUGAACCCGACAAUCAUACGACUGAUGGUACAACUCAAGUUAAUGUUAGUCCCCAAGGUGCUGGUGCUACAACUCCAGUAAAUGUUACUACCCAACGUGAUGGUGCUAGAACUCCAGUUACUUUUAGUCCCCAAGGAGCUAGAUCCAGUGGUGAAGUACCAACCUGCAAGUGUACUGCUGGGAAGUGCAAAACUGAGAAAAAAAACGGGGUGGUCUACUAUGUGUGUCAUAUACCAAAGGGCCAAGGUGCAUGCUCUCACCGCGAGCCAGUCGAAGCUGCUGCUGAAGAACCACCACUAACUGGAUACACCAAUCCAAGGGAGAGUGAACAUUUGGGGUACAAUCCAGUUGCAAAGGAAGCUAAUGUGCAUGCCAUGAUGGGAGGCCACAAUGAAACUAGACAAUUCGAUCCUGAUCAACCCCCUGAAUAUGAUGAAUGGCCGUUUGAAAUUGUUGAGGGUGAUGUUGUACCCACAGCCCACUUGUGGCCUGCUCACCCUACACCCAUUGCUGCAGUCGCUCAGGGAUCUCCAGUUAUGCUGCGCCAACAAUUUGCUAUGGUUCAAGUGGGAACACCAACUAAAUUACCCAUGCCACCUAAAUGUACCAUCAGCCCCAAUACUCCUCGGUCAGGCAGUUGCUACCGGUGCCAUGAAGGACAUUGGAUCAUGAACUGCCCUAAGAACGGCACUUGUUACCACUGUGGUAUGGUUGGGCACUUUGUGAAGGAUUGCCCUGGAGCACGCACCGAGAAAUGA